AAACAGCCAGCCCCCUUCUCUGCUAACUCCCUCUGAUCAGUUAACACCAAAUAGAUAUGAGAAAUCAGAGAGAUGGCUGAGAGGAAAAAUUAGACUUGUGUUGGGAAGACAAGGAAGAAGGAAAGCCAAAAAAAAAAAAAAAGUCUCCACAAAUUAUAUACACUAGCAGUGGAUUACAGUUGAGCUAGAUCACCUUAAGGUUUUCAUGUUUCUAAUUUUGGUCAUUGAUUCAGAAUAAUAAUUAUCUGCAUGAAUGAAUAAUGUUGCUUCAUGUUGCUAAGGUCAUGUAUGGUGUCAGGAGCUUCAUUUGACUGCUAAAAACAGAAACUCAAAAAACAGUCACUUUAAAAAAGUCAUUUAUUUUUUCUCACCUACCUGGUAUUCUAAAGAGAGGCAGCUGAGGGCUGGUAUGGUAUCUUCAUGAGGUCGUCAAAAUCUUAGGCUCCUUCUCUCAGCUCAGUCCCCUUUGGGAUGAUUGCCUCGUGUCCAUAACAUGGUUGGUGGAACUCUAGCCAUCCAGCUACGUGUAAGGCAGGAAGAAGGUAAUAACAACUGCAAAGGGGCACAUGCCCCUUUAAAAACUUUUCCUGGUGGCCGGGGGCGGUGGCUCAUAACUGUAAUCCCAGCACUUUGGGCGUCCGAUGCAGGUGGAUCAUUUGAGGUCAGGAAUUCAAGACCAGCCUGGCCAAUAUGGUGAAACCCCAUCUUUACUAAAAAUACAAAAAUUAGCUGGGCAUGGUGGUGCGUGCCUAUAAUCCCAGCUAUCGGGAGGCUGAGGCAGGAGAAUCGCUUGAGCCUGGGACGCGGAGGUUGUGGUGAGCCAGGAUCGUGCCACUGCACUCCACUCUGGUCGAAAGAGUGAGACCCUGUCUCAAAAAAAAAAAAAAAAAUCCUGGUAAUUGACCCAGUGAAUUUUGUUUAUGUUCUAAUAGGCAGAGCUUACCAUAUAAUCACCUCCCAGCUGCAAGGGAAGCUAGGACAGUGUUUUAAGUUGGGUAUAUUAAAUGGAGAUUUCUGAAAACCAGCCAUAAAUGACCCUACGUCUUUAGUCCUGAUGGUUUUAUAUCAUAUAAUUUUCUUCAGUCAACUCUAUUUCCCCCCAGCUCACUGUUACUCAGCCUAGGUUCUCACUAAGUCUCACCUGGCCCUUCUCACUGGUCCCUCUGACUACUGCAUCACCUCUCUCGAAUCUGCUUUCCACACAACUUCCCAAGUGAAUCAUCUCAAAAAGUCAAGUCUAGCUACUUUACCCCUGAGACAGAUUGAAUUAUUGCUGAUAAUUUUUCACAACCUCCCUACAAAAUUAAUUAACAUCGGCCAGGUGUGGUGGCUCACGCCUGUAAUCCCAGCUCUUUGGGAGGCCAAGGCGGGUGGAUCACGAGAUCAGGAGAUCUAGACCACCCUGGAUAACACGGUGAAACCCCGUCUCUACUAAAAAUACAAAAUAUUAGCCGGGCGUGGUGUCGGGUACCUGUAGUCCCAGCUACUCGGGAGGCUGAGGUGGGAGAAUGGCGUGAACCCAGGAGGCGGAGCUUGCAGUGAGCCAAGAUAGCACCACUGCACUCCAGCCUGACGGCAUAGCGAGACUCUGUCUCAAAAAAAAAAAAAAAAAAAAAUUAACAUCACCUUCCACCAUGUGAUGUUGUAGCACCUCCCCUACAGGGGGCAGUUUUUCUCCCCUCCCUACUGGUAUUGAAAAUCAUAUUGCAAGCAUAUGACUUGCUGUACUAACGCAUGUGUGUGCACCUGACAGUGUACCCCUUCUCUGAAGAGGUCUCAAAAGGCGUCUGUCUGCCCACUCACCCGUCUGUUCUUUCCACGCUUCACCAGGAGAAGAGCUAACCUUGGGUAGCUGCUGUUCCUUCAGUCUGAGCCACACACUCAGCCACCCCAGCCAACCUGAAGAUCUGCAGCAUGAAGCAGAGCUAUGCUCACAGACUCACAGAUCUGUGUGUGAGAAAACAAGACUGUUGUUUAAGCUACCGACUUUUGGGGAGAUUUAUUGUGCAGCAUUACUAAUGCAAUAGUUAGCAGAUACAACUCCCCUGCCUAAAUCCCUUUGGGGGCAUCUCAGCACCUUUCUGUGGAGUGAAGCUACAUUUCUUAGCAGAGCAUGUAAGAUGGACACAGUCUGAUGCUUGCUUACUUUUUCAGCUCCAACUCCUACCAUACUUUGCCUGCCUCAUAUUUCAUACUUUUUCAGUUCUAAACUGCCUUGUAGCUCCCUGUCAGCAUUCAAUAUACCUCCGUACCACACUGAUGCUCUUUUCUCAUGCAUGAAAUGCCUUCCUUGCCUUAUCCUUCUGAAUAACUUCCAACCAGAUCCUUCAAAAGGCAUCAUCUUAUCCAGAGUGCUGGCAUCAGCCCACAUUUCCCUGGCAGAGGCAAAGGUGAGUGUCCCUCUCCACUCCCAUAACCUCCAGUGCAUACCCCUAGUGCAGUACCUAAAAUAGAAUGCUGAAUUACAGGAAAAUAUAAGCAGAGGCUCAAACUAAUCCAGUCCAAUCCCAACAAAAGGGUUUAGCUCCGGCCAGGAUUUAAUAUUAUCUCUUUUCUGCUUUCUCCAAACCAUACAAAUUUUUGUCAUGCUCUACAAAACUCCUUGGUGCCAUUAGGGAUGUUACUGAGGACAUUGCUCACGACAUCCCAUAAUACCUUAUAAAAACUGCACCUAAUCCCUGUGGUUCUUUGGGGGAACUACAUAAUUUUCAUCCUAUGGACACUGAAUUUUGCAAUUGGUUAUGUAUUCCUCUUUGUGCUGGCUUCUAGGAAGUUAGAUCUAAAUUUGUGGCCCACCUUCAAUAAUUUAGAGAAAACUUAAGGAAUGUAAUCUGUUGACUAACCUGACUUCCAUCAUUUUCUCACUUUCAAAUUUCUCCCUCACAGUUUCUUCUUUUUAACCUUAUGUGUAUGUAUCUUUGCAAGUUACUGCUGGCAUUUUUAGUAAGGCAGAAAAGAGAGGAAGGGAGGGAGGGAGGGGGAGAAGGGUCUCAUCUUCAAUUAUAGACCCUAUAAUGUUUUCUGUCUCUCAUUUACUUUGGUAUCUGCUUUGGCUUGAACAUGUGUCCCUCCGAUAUUCAUAUGUUGAAACUUAAACCUUAAGGUAAUGGCAUUAAGAGGGGGCCUUGGGAAGGUGAUUAGGCUGUGAGGGCUCUGCCCUCAUGGAUGGGAUUAGUGCCCUUAUAAAAGGACUUGAGAGAGCAAGUUUGUCCCUUUUUGCCCACCCUUCUCUUCUACCGGAUGGGGAAACAGCAUUUGUCCCUUUUUGCCCCUUUUGCCUUUCCACCAUGUGAGGACACAGUAAGAGGGGCCGUCUGUGAAGCAGAGAGUGAGCCUUCACCAGACACUGAAUCUACUGGACUCUUGAUCUUGGACUUCCCAGCCCCCAGAAAUAUGAGACAUACAUUUCUAAUAUUUAUAAAGUACCUAGUCUAAGGUAUUUUCUUAUAGCAGAAUAAAUGGACUAAGACAAUGUCUUUUUCCUCUUUUAGCUCCUAAGCUCCCGAAGACAAGGUCUAUUUCCUAACACAGAGUUAGUAUUCAAUAAAUACAGGAGGGAAGGAGGAAAGAAAGAAGGGGGAAGGGAGGAGAGAACAAGUUUUCCAAGGGCCUUCAUUCUGAUUUUUUAAAAUAUCUUUCUUGUUUGGGUUGGGUCACCACCCAAACACAUACACAAGAUCUCUUCCUUUUGAAAAUAUCAUUACUGUUUAGUAUAUUUGGAAGUCAGAAGAGUGAUACGUAGUUCGGAAAUUUUUUUAAUAUUUCAAAAUUGUUUAAGUGUUGGAUAAUAUGAUGCUUUAACAAGUUAGCCUCAAAUCUCUGCAAAAAAUGCACUUCAGGCAAUGAGCUUAUUUUAUGUUGAUGCCAGACAUAAAUAUCAUAUAUACAAACAAGGCUGAGGUUUAUCUCAUUUUUCUGUGUUGCAACAAAUAACACAGGCAGCCACUAAAACGCCCUGUCUUGCUCCAUCAAGAACCAAUUUCCCAGGCAAUACCUCAAAACUCUACAGAAGUACAUUCAAUUUUAGCUUUGUUACCUAAUUCUGAGUUGAGAUGCAGAGAACACCGUCAUUGUGUGGAACUAGUACUAUGGCAGAAAUGGCCAGGGAAGGGUUUAUCUAACCACCAGGAGUACGCAAAGAAGAGAGGUCCAGCCAGCCUGCCUCUCAGAUUGUUAAGAUGCCAGGUGUCUUUUGGCUCAUGGAAACAGCUGUUCUGCCCCCUCCCGAACCCUAGACUCACAGCUACACUCUAUGGGGAAAGGACAAAGGGAAGGCUGCUUCCUGAAGAGAUCUCCAUAUGGAAGAGCUGCAGAUCACAAACAACCCACACAGCCAUUGUAACGCCUGCUUGCCUGGUCACUUGUGUUUCUGAGAAGCCAUAACUCCAAGAAUAGCGAAGGGAAGAAAAUGCCAAAAAGCAGGGGCUGCCUAACAGGUCUGACUUGCAAGGCAAACUCCUGGCAGGCCUGGCCAGCUUCUGCUUGUCCCAGUGCAAUCCCACCCCCAUAGGAUCUGGAAUUUUUCAGUCCCUUUGCUAAGAUUCCUGAAAUAGACUUAAUGAAGAGCCUCAGAAGUGAAAAUUCCUCUUCACACAUUUGCUCAAGAAGAUUGCUUUUCUCCUAACACAGAAAUCAGCUGCCUUGAGGAUGUGCAAGUUUGAUUAGGGAGUCUGCUCUUGCCUAUUUCUCAAACGGUUCAGGCCCUGACAGAAUCAGUGUCACCCCUAAGAAUGAAACCUUCCAAGGGGCCAUGAUCAUAUUGUGACUGGACAAGAACUAUCAUGGAUGAGGCACAUCAUCUUUUGGAACCAUCUAUGGAACAGAUAUUAUUAUUCCAUUUUGCGGAAGAGGAAUCUGAGGCUCAGGCCAGACAGAUGCAGCUAACGUUGAGUGGCAUCCUGAUGAUCACCUUCAUCACAAAAGGAAGGAGUGCUCUGAGGACUGUAGGUGGCUCUCAGAACCCUGACCUCCACGGCAGCCAUCAAGGAGUGGCAAAGGGGGUCCACAGUGGCAUAUGCAGUGAGAUCCAAGUUUUAGGCAUUCGGAGUAGAGCAAGCCACGAAUGAGAACAGGUUCUGAAAGUGACAGAAAAGGAGUCACUUUUUUGGUUCCAUAUGAACUUUAAGGUAGUUUUUUCCCAGUUCUGUGAAGAAAGUCAUUGGUAGCUUGAUGGGGAUGGCAUUGAAUCUAUAAAUUACCUUGGACAGUAUGGCCAUUUUCAUGAUAUUGAUUCUUCCUACCCAUGAGCAUGGAAUGUUCUUCCAUUUGUUUGUAUCCUCUUUUAUUUCCUUGAGCAGUGGUUUGUAGUUAUCCUUGAAGAGGUUCUUCACAUCCCUUGUAAGUUGGAUUCCUAGGUAUUUUAUUCUCUUUGAAGCAAUUGUGAAUGGGAGUUCACUCAUGAUUUGGCUCUCUGUUUGUCUGUUGUUAGUGUAUAAGAAUGCUUGUGAUUUUUGUACAUUGAUUUUGUAUCCUGAGACUUUGCUGAAGUUGCUUAUCAGCUUAAGGAGAUUUUGGGCUGAGACAAUGGGGUUUUCUAGAUAUACAAUCAUGUCAUCUGCAAACAGGGACAAUUUGACUUCCUCUUUUCCUAAUUGAAUACCCUUUAUUUCCUUGUCCUGCCUAAUUGCCCUGGCCAGAACUUCCAACACUAUGUUGAAUAGGAGUGGUGAAAGAGGACAUCCCUGUCUUGUGCCAGUUUUCACAGGGAAUGCUUCCAGUUUUUGCCCAUUCAGUAUGAUAUUGGCUGUGGGUUUGUCAUAGAUAGCUCUUAUUAUUUUGACAUACGUCCCAUCAAUACCUAAUUUAUUGAGAGUUUUUAGCAUGAAGCGUUGUUGAAUUUUGUCAAAGGCCUUUUCUGCAUCUAUUGAGAUAAUCAUGUGGUUUUUGUCUUUGGUUCUGUUUAUAUGCUGGAUUACAUUUAUUGAUUUGUGUAUAUUGAACCAGCCUUGCAUCCCAGGGAUGAAGCCCACUUGAUCAUGGUGGAUAAGCUUUUUGAUGUGCUGCUGGAUUCGGUUUGCCAGUAUUUUAUUGAGGAUUUUUGCAUCAAUGUUCAUCAGGGAUAUUGGUCGAAAAUUCUCUUUUUUGGUUGUAUCUCUGCCCGGCUUUGGUAUCAGGAUGAUGCUGGCCUCAUAAAAUGAGUUAGGGAGUAUUCCCUCUUUUUCUAUUGAUUGGAAUAUCACCAAGUCCAUCCUAAGCCAAAAGAACAAAGCUGGAGGCAUCACACUACCUGACUUCAAACUAUACUACAAGGCUACAGUAACCAAAACAGCAUGGUACUGGUACCAAAACAGAGAUAUAGAUCAAUGGAACAGAACAGAGCCCUCAGAAAUAACACCGCAUAUCUACAAUUAUCUGAUCUUUGACAAACCUGACAAAAACAAGCAAUGGGGAAAGGAUUCCCUAUUUAAUAAAUGGUGCUGGGAAAACUGGCUAGCCAUAUGUAGAAAGCUGAAACUGGAUCCCUUCCUUACACCUUAUACAAAAAUCAAUUCAAGAUGGAUUAAAGACUUAAACGUUAGACCUAAAACCAUAAAAACCCUAGAAGAAAACCUAGGCAUUACCAUUCAGGACAUAGGCAUAGGCAAGGACUUCAUGUCUAAAACACCAAAAGCAGUGGCAACAAAAGCCAAAAUUGACAAACGGGAUCUAAUUAAGCUAAAGAGCCUCUGCACAGCAAAAGAAACUACCAUCAGAGUGAACAGGCAACCUACAAAAUGGGAGAAAAUUUUCGCAACCUACUCAUCUGACAAAGGGCUAAUAUCCAGAAUCUACAAUGAACUCAAACAAAUUUACAAGAAAAAAACAAACAACCCCACCAAAAAGUGGGUGAAGGACAUGAACAGACACUUUUCAAAAGAAGACAUUUAUGCAGCCAAAAAACACAUGAAAAAAUGCUCACCAUCACUGGCCAUCAGAGAAAUGCAAAUCAAAACC
rnacentral:lncRNA from 1 species